rnacentral:lncRNA from 1 species
GAAGGGAGCUUUCAUGUGGCCGACCAACUCUACUCCUUGACUCCUCCCUUCUCUCAUUGAAAAAAAAUGUUUAAGGGGACAUUUCUCUCUCCUAAACUUUUUAUGUUCCAUUGAAGACCUGGAAAACAUGUUAAAUAAAAAUGCUUUGCCACAGCUGACCUAUGUCUUCUGGCUUGUACCCCACAACAUCUUAUCUAAUGGGCUACAGAGAAACAAGGAGACGGGAGAGCCUUGAAAUGGACCUUCAAGAUUACAAUGUGUAGCUGACAUUGUCAGUUAAGUUGGGCAGAUCUGACUUCGCUGAUUAAGUGGAUGUAUGAGCCGAUCCUCCCCAGAAGCUGGGAUCAGCUUCCCCAUCUGAUGAAGGACAGAAUAACGGGCUCCCAGAUUCACAAGCCCCACCAAGAGGAUCACCCCAGGAACGCUUGGAGGCUGAGGAGUUCACUGAGGCUACUGCAUCUUGAGACUCAGGAUGAAGACCCAGCUUGGGGCUGUCAAAGGUUUUUUGCAUGUCUGACACCCAUGACUCCACCUGGACCUUAUGGCUCCACCCAGAAGCAAUUCAGCCCAACAGGAGGACAGCUUCAACCCAUUACGAUUUCAUCUCUGCCCCAACCACUCAGCAGCAAGCACCUGUUACCUGUCCACCCCCACCCCUUCCCCCAAACUGCCUUUGAAAAAUCCCUAACCUAUGAGCUUUGAAUAAGAUGAGUACGAACUUCAUCGCCCACGUGGCGUGGCCGGCCUCGUGUCUAUUAAAUUCUUUUUCUACUACAA